rnacentral:rRNA from 1 species
CAGUCGCCGCGGUAAAACGUAGGUGGCAAGCGUUGUCCGGGAUUAUUGGGCGUAAAGCGCGCGCAGGUGGUUUAAUAAGUCUGAUGUGAAAGCCCACGGCUCAACCGUGGAGGGUCAUUGGAAACUGUUAAACUUGAGUGCAGGAGAGAAAAGUGGAAUUCCUAGUGUAGCGGUGAAAUGCGUAGAGAUUAGGAGGAACACCAGUGGCGAAGGCGGCUUUUUGGCCUGUAACUGACACUGAGGCGCGAAAGCGUGGGGAGCAAACAGGAUUAGAUACCCGAGUAGUCCCUGUCUCUUAUAC